CGGUUGGCGGGAGGCUCUGACGCGCGGUCCAAACCCUGGCCGCCGCGACCGCGCCGAGCCUCUGGCGAGACCGACCCGCGCCCAG
rnacentral:ncRNA from 1 species